GGAGGUGGGAGGUGGGAGGACAGCGGAGGCGGUUGGAGAAGACGAGUGGGCCGUCGUACGUCGGCGUACAAUGACGACUCGCAGCUUUGGCUCCUACGGUUGGAACUAUUUCGACUGGCAUCCAAACAUGUAUCUCGAUCUCUUGUAUGAUUGAAAGUUUGAGGAGAUUUCUCUCCUCUGGAACUGUAGAAGUGUCUGCUUGUGGAGGUUCCAAUUGAUGAUUUGAUCUUGUUGGUUCGCUGAGAUCAGAAUGAGAAGUGUCAUAAUCUGAAUUCUGGAGAUGUUUAGCUAUUGUCCAUAUUGUUUGCUUGGUUGCAGACAGUUGUGGUUGCAGAAGGUUGCAGGUAUGCGAAUAAAGGUCCAUUGAAAAAUAUUAAGUAUUGUGAAGAAUCCAUAUGUAUUGUAAGAACGUUGGGUUUACUGGAUGGCUCCUGCCAAAUUAGUAUAAGUGUGAGUCUACCACCUAAAUUUAUACCAAGUAUACCACUUCGAUGCCUGCAGUAUUUUCUCCAUGAAAGUUACUUGAUAUUGCUUCAGGAGAUCGUUAGUCCGUGGGAUAUCAAUUUAAUGGAAACUCGCUAUCGCUGCCUAUAAAAGCUGCCCACUUCAUCACACUUCGUGUCCCAGGAGCUUUUAUCUUCGGUUUGGUUGUCAAGUUUAUUCCAGAGCCAACCUUCGUGCCAGCCACGCAAGCUAGAAAAUAGUUGAAAUGAAACAAUCUACAGGGAUGUACAACACCAUAUUAAUCUGUUUCUUAUAAAAGAGGACAACUUGUAAUUUAGUUCUUUUUUGUGGAAAGCGGACUGAUGAUGAUGGUUCAGGUAAAGAUAUGAUGCAAAAGCAUCGCCGGUAAGUCUUAUUCAGUGGUAUGAUUACAGCUGUUGGUAAGAAACUAAGAAUGUGUCUAAAUCGUUAAGCUCACUUGUUUUAUCAGGCCUGCACUUGUCAAACUUACUUUUAGGUGACAUUAUUAUUUGAACUAUUUCAUGCCACAGUAGGUUCUUUAAUAAAAUUCUGUGAAGUUUUGCUUCCUUGAAGCUACAAUCAGUUGACUUCAUACUUAUUGUGAGCUGUAGGAAUCAGAUUGCACAAUUUUCCUGAGUGAAUGGCGGUAUUUCUCAGAUACUUAGGACUGCAUUUUAAUUUUGUCAUGUUAAUAAAUGAAUGGAUCUGAGCAGCCUCAUAGGACAAUUGAUCCAUUGAUGUGAAGUUUAUGGUAAGAAGAGUGUUGAAAACAAUAUCGUCUAUGUCAGCAUUCUAAUUUUGUCACGUUAAUAAAUGAAAUUUCUGUACAGGGACCUCUGCAGACAACCAAUUCAGAUUAGAACUGAUUUUGAUUAGAACUGGAGGAGGAAUAUACACUUAAUUACCUAUAUCAGCUUACACCAUUGUCCUAUGAGGCUGCUCAAACAAUGGCAGAGGGAAGCAGUAUACUUGGUAAAAUUCGAAUUACAUGCCAGAUGAAUCUUGGCGAACCAGCCUGUUUGCAAAUGCAGAACAUUCAUAGGACUAUAAGUAACCUCCCGGCCCCCUUUUUUUACUAUUUAUGUUAUGUGCUGACCAUUUAAACUUUCUAACUGCAUCGAUGUCAAGAGUCAAGACAGUUUUUCCUGUUAAAACUGAAAAUAAAAAAUGAUUGUCGAAUUCUCUAAUUGAACCUGACUUCCUUUUGGCAGCCCACUCCAAGCAAGGAUGUUGACCUUCGUGCUGUGGAAGUUCCAGUUGUCUUAUUUGUAAAUUGGCCAUUUUUUUGUAAGAUUUCUUGGUUAGGAUUCGUCUAAAAUUGUGCAGCCUAAAAUACGAUGUCCCAAAUAGUCAGAUAAUAUAGUUUAGUUAUGUAUAAUGGAUUUUUUUUCAAUUGUGGUGGAAGGGAAAAAUCCUAGGUCUUAGUUCUGUGAAGUUUAAGGAACUUUCCUUCUUAGGCUUGCUAGAUGGAGGUUAAUAAUGAGUAUGUUUAUUUCUGCUUUUUUUAGAAAUGGUGCUUACUAGAUGUUUUAAGAAUUCAGUUCAGUUGGCUUACAUUCUUAUAAAGAGAAUGAAAGUGGGAAUUUGGGGUGUCGAAACAAAGAUAGUCAGACCCAUCGACACCUACCCCAAGCAAAACAAGGCCAGCCGAAGACAGGGGGAUUUUCCUUGAAUUUUUUCAUUAUUAAAAAGAGCUGGGUUGAACCGUUAUGAAUUUGAGAAAACAAUGACAAUGUCCUUUGGCUAUAUUAGUGAUCAAUUCUUACUGAUCAAUUGUUAUAUGAGCACUGCCUCCACUGCACUGACCAGGUUGUCAUCCACCAACCCGUGCAUCUCCUUCAUCGUUGCCACAAACUCCUUCGCUUGACGUCUGACCUUGCCGUCUUCUUCAUGUAGGCUCUCCAUUUUCCAUGGGCUAUUUCUACAGCAUAAGCCCAUCUUGGCAUGACAAAGAGGGGGCUGGAUAGAAGAAGGGGAGGCAUGGACACGAGGAGAGGAGGAGGUCGCACCAUAUGUCAGCACUGUUAUGUUCUGCUUCUUCUGCUAUAUUCUGUCACGCAGUCUCUGAUUUUUAUUUUCUGGCUGGUUGCAGUAUUAAUUUUGUGAGAUAAAACAAAGAUCUUAUCCUCUGCACUUAGCUAGCAAAUAUUAAUAAUUCUUUUUUCUGUCUACAAUGGUUCCAAUUUAUUCAUACAACUUAAUGAUGCUUUCGUGCAUUCCAAUUGAUCUCUGUGAAACACACACAGAAACUCGUCUAUGAAUCUUUUGGAUUUAGUAUAGUUUCUUUGGUAAUUAUUCAUACAUAAAGGAGAAACUGUGCUCUUGGAGAUGUUGGGUACUCAUGUUUAUUUGAGUGCAUUUUCUUAUUUAGAAAUAGUCAUUAAAAUUUUUAUAUGGUUUUCUUUGCACCAGCCGCUAUAUCAUGAAAUUUUUGUAUCAUUUUAGAAUAAACUGACUUUUUUUACUGUGUGGGAAAUCUUACUAGAAGGUUGACUUAUGUGGAAUAGUCAAUAGAUAUAUAUGAAAUCAAUAUCAGUGAAAGGAAGUAAGUGCAAGCUGUGUUACUUCUUUUGUUUCUUCUGCGGUAUGACUCGCAAUAGAGAAGUAAAUCAUGUCGACUUAUGUUACAUUCAGUGAUUGCUAAUUUCUUCCGCCUUAAUUUACAGAGGUGAACAGAUUUGCAUGUCAGGUGCGUGAACCAGCAACUGCAAGAAGCAUAACUCAGUUGCUUAGCUUGAAGGUGAUGGCUAUCUAGGUGAAAUUACUUUGUGCUUCAUGUGUAGAUUGGUUCAAAGAAUCAAAUUUCAUUGUAGGCAUGCUACCAAGCUGGAAAAGCAAUUGGCUGGAAACUAGGUUUCUCUUACAGAUAGUCAGUGAACAAGAGCUAUAUCGAAGUUAGCAAAGGCAUCCAUAUUUUGCCAGUUUUGAUUUUGUUCUGCACUUCCAUGUGUAUCAGAGGAAAUACCCAGCUGGAAAAGCAAUUGGCUGGAAACCAGGUUUCUCUUACAGAUAGCUCAGUGGAGAAGAGCUAUAUCAAAGUUAGCAAAGACAUCCAUAUUUUGCCAGUUUUGCUUUUGCUCUGCACUGCCAUAUGUGUAUCGGAGGAAAUAAGGAGGUGCUUUCUAUGUGCUUGUUGUAGAUGACCAUAUUAUAGAUUUGCUUUAUCGUGGAGUUAACAAGUGAUGUAAGGGCACUGACUUUGAUUUUCUCCAAGCAAUAAUAAUAUAAGGGCACUCGAGUUUG